GUCUAUGGCCAUGCCAUCCUGAACGUGCCCGAUCCCGUCUGAUCUCGGAAGCUAAGCAGGGUUGGGCCUGGUUAGUACUUGGACGAGAGACCACCUAGGAAGACCAGGUGCUGUAGGCA
rnacentral:rRNA from 1 species